rnacentral:lncRNA from 1 species
UUCAAACGUUAUACCAGUCAUACAAAACGCUUAAUAACACUUGAAACCGCAACCACCCGCAUCCCCAAACUCCCGCACCCGCAACCACAACCAUUGCGUUGAAACCAGUCGGGCCCUUAAUCAUUUUUCAUUUUCUUUUUUCGUCUCAUUUUUGGAGAAAACAUGAGAAGAAUUUAUAAUACUAUGAAAAUAUAUUAAACAUUCAACGUAAUGAAGUAAGGCAUGCAGGUGAAUCUCCAUCUCUUUUUUUCGAGAAAUUUCCAUGUUUACCACAUUGUUUUUACCAUUAUACAUGUUAACUUUCACUAAAGAGACAUUUUCAAAAACACUUUCUUCACGAAGAAGCAAAAAUUUCUUACACCCUUGUUCUAUAUAUAUAAUAAAUAAUUUAUUUUUAUACUUUUUUGGAUUUAUACUUUUUCAAAUUCGAAUUUUUAUAAUUUUUUUUUUGAAUUUUUUUGAAUUUUUGUUUCAAAUUUUCUUAUUAAAAUUCAAAUUUUUUGAAACUAUUUAUUUAUAUAUUUAUUAGAAUCAAAAACUUUACAUUUCAAAAACCCUACCC